UGGCAGACGGGUGAGUAACGCGUGGGAACGUGCCUUUCGGUCCGGAAUAACUCAGGGAAACUUGGGCUAAUACUGGAUACGCCCUUCGGGGGAAAGAUUUAUCGCCGAAAGAUCGGCCCGCGUCAGAUUAGCUUGUUGGUGGGGUAAUGGCUCACCAAGGCGACGAUCUGUAGCUGGUCCGAGAGGAUGAUCAGCCUCACUGGGACUGAGACACGGCCCAGACUCCUACGGGAGGCAGCAGUGGGGAAUAUUGGACAAUGGGGGCAACCCUGAUCCAGCAAUGCCGCGUGUGUGAUGAAGGCCUUACGGUUGUAAAGCACUUUCACUGGCGAAGAUGAUGACGGUAACCAGAGAAGAAGCCCCGGCUAACUUCGUGCCAGCAGCCGCGGUAAU
rnacentral:rRNA from 1 species